rnacentral:tRNA from 1 species
GAAAAAUUAGUUAAUCUUAUAAUAUUAAAAUGUCAUUUUAAAGUAAUUAAUUUAUAAUAUUUUUCU